UGGGGGAUAUUGCACAAUGGGCGAAAGCCUGAUGCAGCGACGCCGCGUGGGGGAUGAAGGCCUUCGGGUUGUAAACUUCUUUUGCUCUGAACAAGGCAUGCUAAUGGGUGUGUUGAGUGUAGGGGUUGAUUAGCGCCGGCUAACUACGUGCCAGCAGCCGCGGUAAUACGUAGGGCGCGAGCGUUGUCCGGAAUUAUUGGGCGUAAAGGGCUUGUAGGUGGCUGGUUGCGUCUGUCGUGAAAGCUCAUGGCUUAACUGUGGGUUUGCGGUGGGUACGGGCUGGCUUGAGUGCAGUAGGGGAGGCUGGAAUUCCUGGCGUAGCGGUGGAAUGUGCAGAUAUCAGGAGGAAUACCGGUGGCGAAGGCGGGUCUCUGGGCUGUUACUGACACUGAGGAGCGAAAGCAUGGGGAGCGAACAGG
rnacentral:rRNA from 1 species